rnacentral:lncRNA from 1 species
CCUCCCCUAACACCCCGUCCUCCAGGCUCCCCGUCGGAGGGCUCAGCGACAAAGCUGCCGUAUUACACCAGCGACAGCGUGGAGGCCAGCAGCCCCGGGACAGCCCCAGACACCCCUGCCCUGCCCAGGCACGACCCCCCAGACGGGUAUGAUGAUGCCACGGCCGUGCUGGACCCGGGAGAGGCCGCUGCUCCGGGGCCAAGCGAUGGAGGUGUCUCCAAGGUGGAGGAGCUGGGAGCAGGGAGCCGGCCCUUGCUGAGCCCCCUGGAGCCGCCGGGAGACAUGAUAGACGCCCCAGCCUCAGCGCCGAGGGACGCGGGCUACGACGACGUUGGUGUCAGCAGCCCCAGUAUGUUGCUGUGAGCACUGCGUGGCCGCGCUGUGGCAGUCCCUGAGGACACGUGCAGCCCUGUAGUUCUCUGCCCCCGUGGAGCCACAACCCAGCCAUAGAGAGCAUCAUCCGCCUGACUGUGCGCCCGCUCGGGCCUGCCAGGGACUACGGGUACUGUGGAGAACUGCCUCCAUCAUCCCUCCCACACAGCCCUGCGGGUGCUGCCUGACUGUGUGUGUGCUUCCAGUCUGCAUUUCUCUCUUUACUAUUAAAAAAACAAAGAUUUCUGGAGCCUCAG